AUUCUGUGUUAAUAUUUUUA
rnacentral:miRNA from 1 species